UGUGGACUAGCUGGGACUCUGCUCCAUCAUGAGGUGUCCAGCCAUAUCUGAAAGAUGAAACCACACAGAAGAGUGCUUUUGAGUCGUACCAAGCUCUCCAGGCCUUGAUCAGAGACCAGCAGGGAGGGAAAAUGGGUGGCAUUGCUGGUUAUACCUUCGAGGGCUGAGCUUCUCCUGCUGAGUAGAGACCCUUAUCUCUGAGGGAUGAAAUAUCAGUUGAUCUCCUUGCAGGAAUUACAUGCUCUGUCUUUCCAUUAAGUGAACCCAAUUAUGACUUCUACUUUGUGAAUGACCUUCUAACAUGGAAACAGCAUAUGGGAAGCAAACUGAAUAAAAAGACUUAUCUUCAAUAAAUGCUAAUAAAAGAAAAACACUCCAAUCGCUUUAGUCA
rnacentral:lncRNA from 1 species